UCCACAUAUACUCUGCCUCAUUCUGCUUCAAGCAGAAGAGCUGGCCUGGGUCAUCAUGGAUCUGAUGCUGCAAGGAACAAAGCAAUUCUUCCUUCACUACAGAGAGAAUUAAGGGCUCCUCAGUACUUCACAGGCAGUACACAGACUUUUGAGGAUCAGGCCCGAUAUAGUCUUACAGAGAAUAAGGAGAGUCUUCUGAUUAAAGUCCUGCCCUGAAACUACAGCUGCAUAAUCCUGGGAGAUGUCAGCAUGCUGACAAUGUCGACUACCUUAUAUACUUCAUUCAAAAGGUCAAGGUAAGCCCUGAGGAGGAUCACAAGUCAUUGAAAAGCAUGCUUCAUAUACUCCUCAAGAUGUGCUGCUUUGGGUGACACCUGCAACUAGUCCUCAGGUACAACAAUGAAAAAGUCAGACAGACAUUGAAGAUGUGAUACAGUGCUGCAGGCCCUUUACCUCAGACAUUGGUCCAUCAGCAGAGACAAGGAAAUGUGAAAGAGCCUAGUCUUCCUGUGGAUGCUCCAGACAGCCUGCGAGUAAUGGCUGCUACGACCCUGCAGAGACUUGUGACUGAGUCAUCUGGUGCUGGAUCCCACCUUGGAAUGCCAAUGUUUUUCCACCAUACACAAAAGCUAUGGAAGGCAGGGGAGUGACAUCAUCAUGGUUCUCCUCUGCUUCCCCACCAAAAGAGACACAGGGAAACACCUGAAAACAAGAACUGGGGGGAGAAUGAGCCCAGGCUAUAAGGGUGUCCAGCCUGUGAAUGAAAAUACCUGAAGUUUCAAGCUGCAGGCCAGUACAGUUGGCUUUCAAGAAUCUCUGUAAUCUGCCUGAGACAACAUUUAGGGUGAGAAAUUACUAUUUGUAGCCAAUUUCUUCAGUGUAUUAAGUUUAGUCUGCGUGUUUUGUUUCAUUUGCUCAGAAAUUUGCUUGGUUCUGUUUGUUAUCUCUUAUAAUCACUUAAA